rnacentral:rRNA from 1 species
UACGAAGGGGGCUAGCGUUGUUCGGAUUUACUGGGCGUAAAGCGCACGUAGGCGGAUCGAUCAGUCAGGGGUGAAAUCCCAGAGCUCAACUCUGGAACUGCCUUUGAUACUGUCGAUCUGGAGUAUGGAAGAGGUGAGUGGAAUUCCGAGUGUAGAGGUGAAAUUCGUAGAUAUUCGGAGGAACACCAGUGGCGAAGGCGGCUCACUGGUCCAUUACUGACGCUGAGGGGCGAAAGCGUGGGGAGCAAACAGG